rnacentral:rRNA from 1 species
ACGUGGAUUAAUGCCUGAUAGUCUCUACGGAGUAAAUGGUGCCUUCGGGUAUUGAUAGAGGAUGGGCUCGCGGCCUAUCAGCUUGUUGGUGAGGUAAAGGCUCACCAAGGCGACGACGGGUAGCUGGUCUGAGAGGACGAUCAGCAACACUGGAACUGAGACACGGUCCAGACACCUACGGGUGGCAGCAGUUGAGAAUCAUUCACAAUGGAGGCAACUGUGAUGGUGCAACGCCGCGUGGAGGAUGACGGUCCUAGGAUUGUAAACUCC